GGAAGAUACCAGUUAGCGAGGCUGUACUUAUCAUCUCUAAGACACCUUGCCUUGGCAUGCAGUGUAACCUCAAAAACGGUUGCUGAAAUUUGGCAACACACCUCAGCAGAUCAGAGAGGCAACUUGUUUCUCACAGUGCAGCAAACAUACCAUAUCUCUUAGACAGGUUUACUCCCAUAACAAAAAGGCAAGAGGAAGAAUAAGUUGUGGAUAUUGUUCAUAUGAGUCCAGAAGUUCUCCCAUCUACUCCU
rnacentral:lncRNA from 1 species